rnacentral:rRNA from 1 species
GACGAACGCUGGCGGCGUGCUUAACGCAUGCCAGUCGAACGGAAAGGCCCUGCUUUUGUGGGGUGCUCGAGUGGCGAACGGGUGAGUAACACGUGAGUAACCUGCCCUUGACUUUGGGAUAACUUCAGGAAACUGGGGCUAAUACCGGAUAGGAGCUCCUGCUGCAUGGUGGGGGUUGGAAAGUUUCGGCGGUUGGGGAUGGACUCGCGGCUUAUCAGCUUGUUGGUGGGGUAGUGGCUUGCCAAGGCUUUGACGGGUAGCCGGCCUGAGAGGGUGACCGGCCACAUUGGGACUGAGAUACGGCCCAGACUCCUACGGGAGGCAGCAGUGGGGAAUAUUGCACAAUGGGCGGAAGCCUGAUGCAGCAACGCCGCGUGCGGGAUGACGGCCUUCGGGUUGUAAACCGCUUUCGCCUGUGACGAAGCGUGAGUGACGGUAAUGGGUAAAGAAGCACCGGCUAACUACGUG